rnacentral:rRNA from 1 species
GAUGAACGCUGGCGGCGUGCCUAAUACAUGCAAGUCGAGCGAACGGACGAGAAGCUUGCUUCUCUGAUGUUAGCGGCGGACGGGUGAGUAACACGUGGAUAACCUACCUAUAAGACUGGGAUAACUUCGGGAAACCGGAGCUAAUACCGGAUAAUAUUUUGAACCGCAUGGUUCAAAAGUGAAAGACGGUCUUGCUGUCACUUAUAGAUGGAUCCGCGCUGCAUUAGCUAGUUGGUAAGGUAACGGCUUACCAAGGCAACGAUGCAUAGCCGACCUGAGAGGGUGAUCGGCCACACUGGAACUGAGACACGGUCCAGACUCCUACGGGAGGCAGCAGUAGGGAAUCUUCCGCAAUGGGCGAAAGCCUGACGGAGCAACGCCGCGUGAGUGAUGAAGGUCUUCGGAUCGUAAAACUCUGUUAUUAGGGAAGAACAUAUGUGUAAGUAACUGUGCACAUCUUGACGGUACCUAAUCAGAAAGCCACGGCUAACUACGUGCCAGCAGCCGCGGUAAUACGUAGGUGGCAAGCGUUAUCCGGAAUUAUUGGGCGUAAAGCGCGCGUAGGCGGUUUUUUAAGUCUGAUGUGAAAGCCCACGGCUCAACCGUGGAGGGUCAUUGGAAACUGGAAAACUUGAGUGCAGAAGAGGAAAGUGGAAUUCCAUGUGUAGCGGUGAAAUGCGCAGAGAUAUGGAGGAACACCAGUGGCGAAGGCGACUUUCUGGUCUGUAACUGACGCUGAUGUGCGAAAGCGUGGGGAUCAAACAGGAUUAGAUACCCUGGUAGUCCACGCCGUAAACGAUGAGUGCUAAGUGUUAGGGGGUUUCCGCCCCUUAGUGCUGCAGCUAACGCAUUAAGCACUCCGCCUGGGGAGUACGACCGCAAGGUUGAAACUCAAAGGAAUUGACGGGGACCCGCACAAGCGGUGGAGCAUGUGGUUUAAUUCGAAGCAACGCGAAGAACCUUACCAAAUCUUGACAUCCUUUGACAACUCUAGAGAUAGAGCUUUCCCCUUCGGGGGACAAAGUGACAGGUGGUGCAUGGUUGUCGUCAGCUCGUGUCGUGAGAUGUUGGGUUAAGUCCCGCAACGAGCGCAACCCUUAAGCUUAGUUGCCAUCAUUAAGUUGGGCACUCUAAGUUGACUGCCGGUGACAAACCGGAGGAAGGUGGGGAUGACGUCAAAUCAUCAUGCCCCUUAUGAUUUGGGCUACACACGUGCUACAAUGGACAAUACAAAGGGCAGCGAAACCGUGAGGUCAAGCAAAUCCCACAAAGUUGUUCUCAGUUCGGAUUGUAGUCUGCAACUCGACUACAUGAAGCUGGAAUCGCUAGUAAUCGUAGAUCAGCAUGCUACGGUGAAUACGUUCCCGGGUCU